rnacentral:tRNA from 1 species
AAGGAUUUAAGUUAAGCUAAACUAUUAGCCUUCAAAGUUAAAAAUAGAAUUUUUCUAAGCCUUA